rnacentral:rRNA from 1 species
UUUAUAUGAGAGUUUGAUCCUGGCUCAGGAUGAACGCCGGCGGUGUGCCUAAUACAUGCAAGUCGUACGCACUGGCCCAACUGAUUGAUGGUGCUUGCACCGGAUUGACGAUGGAUUACCAGUGAGUGGCGGACGGGUGAGUAACACGUAGGUAACCUGCCCCGGAGCGAGGGAUAACAUUUGGAAACAGAUACUAAUACCGCAUACAAACAA